rnacentral:misc_RNA from 1 species
UCUCCGUUGGUGAACCAGCGGAGGGAUCAUUACAGAGUUGCAAAACUCCCAAACCCUUGUGAACCUACCUAACUGUCGUUGCUUCGGCGGGCAGCCCCUGGGAGGGGCCGCGCCUCUCGCGAGGUGUCCGCCGGAGGACCACCAAAAACUCUUGAAUCUAUGGCUUCUCUGAGUAUUAUACCAAAUAAGUUAAAACUUUCAACAACGGAUCUCUUGGUUCUGGCAUCGAUGAAGAACGCAGC